UUAAAUUUGUAAGGGCGUAUGGUGGAUGCCUUGGCAUUAGAAGCUGAUGAAGGACGUGACUAACUACGAUAUGCUUCGGGGAGAUGUACGUAAUCUUUGAUCCGGAGAUUUCCGAAUGGGGGAACCCACUAGUGGUAAUGCACUAGUAUCACAUAAUGAAUAUAUAGUUAUGUAGAAAGCAACCCAGUGAACUGAAACAUCUUAGUAACUGGAGGAACAGAAAGAAAAAUCGAUUUCCUUAGUAGCGGCGAGCGAAAGGGAAAGAGCCCAAACCAACUUUAGAGUUGGGGUUGUAGGACCUCUCUAUAAGAGUUACAAAUUCAUAACAUAGUUGAACUUUUCUGGAAAGUUAGACGAAACAAGGUGAUAGUCCUGUAAACGAAAUGUUAUGAACUCUUUGAGGUAUCCUGAGUACAACGAGACACGAGAAAUCUUGUUGGAAUCUGCGGGGACCAUCCCGUAAGGCUAAAUACUCUCUAAUGACCGAUAGUGAACAAGUACCGUGAGGGAAAGGUGAAAAGAACCCCGGGAGGGGAGUGAAAUAGAAACUGAAACCGUAUGCUUACAAAAAGUUCGAGCACAUUAAUGUGUGAGAGCGUGCCUUUUGCAGAAUGAACCGGCGAGUUAUUGUAUUAUGCAAGGUUAAGUCGAACAGAUGGAGCCGAAGCGAAAGCGAGUCUGAAUAGGGCGCUUAAGUAUGAUGCAAUAGACCCGAAACCGGGUGAUCUAGCCAUGAGCAGGUUGAAGUUGGGGUAAGACCCAAUGGAGGACCGAACCGAUAUGCCCGGAAACGCGUACGGAUGACUUGUGGUUAGCGGAGAAAUUCCAAACGAACUCGGAGAUAGCUGGUUCUCCCCGAAAUAGGUUUAGGCCUAGCCUUGAUUGAAUCUGCCCGGAGGUAGAGCACUGAAUGUGCGAUGGCGUCGUCUAGAUGUACUGAGUACAAUCAAACUCCGAAUGCUGGGUAGUACUAAUCAGGAGUCACUGUAUGGGUGAUAACGUCCAUACGGGAGAGGAAAAGAAUCCGGAUCGCCAGCUAAGGUCCCAAAAUUUGUGUUAAGUGGGAAAGGAUGUAGAGUUGUCAAAACAGCUAGGAGGUUGGCUUAGAAGCAGCCACCCUUUAAAGAGUGCGUAAUAGCUCACUAGUCGAGUGACACUGCGCCGAAGAUGUACCGGGGCUAAACACAAUACCGAAGCUGCGGACUUGCAUGUAAGUGCAAGUGGUAGGGGAGCGUUCUAAGGGCUGUGAAGGUAGACCGUAAGGACUGCUGGAGCGCUUAGAAGUGAGAAUGCCGGUGUGAGUAACGAAAAUUGGGUGAGAAUCCCAUUCACCGUUUGACUAAGGGUUCCUGGGUAAAGUUCGUCUUCCCAGGGUAAGUCAGGACCUAAGAUGAGGCUGAAAAGCGUAGUCGAUGGACAACAGGUUGAUAUUCCUGUACCACCUAUAUGACUGAAGGAGUGACGGAGAAAGCUAGUGAGAGCCAGUUAAUGGAUUCUGGUCUAAGUGCGUAGGCUAGUAUGUUGGCAAAUCCGCAAUACUAUAACAGCUGAAACAUGAUGGGGAAGAGAGUCUUCGGACAAUCGAACUUUCAUGAUGCUAUGCUUCCAAGAAAAGCUUCUAGGGUUAAUCGUAUAGGUGCCUGUACCGACAACCGACACAGGUGGUCAAGGAGAGUAUCCUAAGGUGAGCGAGAGAACUAUGGUUAAGGAACUCGGCAAAAUGACCCCGUAACUUCGGGAGAAGGGGUGGUCUAGCGAUAGACCCGCAGUGAAUAGGCCCAGGCAACUGUUUACCAAAAACACAGGUCUCUGCUAACACGUAAGUGGAUGUAUAGGGGCUGACGCCUGCCCAGUGCUGGAAGGUUAAAGAGAUUAGUUAGUAUGACGUAAGUCGAUAAUACGAAGCUUUGAACUGAAGCCCCAGUGAACGGCGGCCGUAACUAUAACGGUCCUAAGGUAGCGAAAUUCCUUGUCAGGUAAGUUCUGACCCGCACGAAAGGCGUAAUGAUCUGGGUACUGUCUCAACCAUAGACUCGGUGAAAUCUUAAUACCUGUGAAAAUGCAGGUUACCCGCGACUGGACGGAAAGACCCCGUGGAGCUUUACUGUAGCUUGAUAUUGGAAUUCGGUAAACUAUGUAGAGCAUAGGUGGGAGACUAUGAGAUUAAGGCGCCAGCCUUAAAGGAGUCACCAUUGGAAUACCACCCUUAGUUUAUUGGAUUUCUAACCUAGGACCAUAAUCUGGUUCAGGGACAGUGUCUGGUGGGCAGUUUGACUGGGGCGGUCGCCUCCUAAAGAGUAACGGAGGCGUUCAA
rnacentral:rRNA from 1 species